UUGUUAGCUUAGGAGAAGAAUUACUAAAAUUGGAACGAUACAGAGAAAAUUAGCAUGGCCCCUGCGCAAGGAUGACACGCAAAUUCGUGAAGCGUUCCAUAUUUAU